UACAGAGGGUGCGAGCGUUAAUCGGAAUUACUGGGCGUAAAGCGUGCGUAGACGGCUAUCUAAGUCGGGUGUGAAAGCCCCGGGCUCAACCUGGGAAUUGCAUUCGAGACUGAAUAGCUAGGGUACGGUAGAGGGAAGUGGAAUUUCCGGUGUAGCGGUGAAAUGCGUAGAUAUCGUAAGGAAGACCAGUGGCGAAGGCGGGUCUCUGGACAGUUCCUGACGCUGAGGCACGAAGGUCAGGGGAGCAAACGGG
rnacentral:rRNA from 1 species